rnacentral:rRNA from 1 species
UACGGAAGGGGGCUAGCGUUGUUCGGAAUUACUGGGCGUAAAGAGCUCGUAGGUGGUUUGUCGCGUUGUUCGUGAAAACUCACAGCUCAACUGUGGGCGUGCGGGCGAUACGGGCAGACUAGAGUACUGCAGGGGAGACUGGAAUUCCUGGUGUAGCGGUGGAAUGCGCAGAUAUCAGGAGGAACACCGGUGGCGAAGGCGGGUCUCUGGGCAGUAACUGACGCUGGAGGAGCGAAAGCGUGGGGAGCGAACAGG